rnacentral:rRNA from 1 species
CAGGCUUAACACAUGCAAGUCGAACGGUAACAGGAAGAAAGCUUGCUUUCUUUGCUGACGAGUGGCGGACGGGUGAGUAAUGCUUGGGUAUCUGGCUUAUGGAGGGGGAUAACUACGGGAAACUGUAGCUAAUACCGCGUAGUAUCGGAAGAUGAAAGUGUGGGACCGCAAGGCCACAUGCCAUAGGAUGAGCCCAAGUGGGAUUAGGUAGUUGGUGAGGUAAUGGCUCACCAAGCCGACGAUCUCUAGCUGGUCUGAGAGGAUGRCCAGCCACACCGGGACUGAGACACGGCCCGGACUCCUACGGGAGGCAGCAGUGGGGAAUAUUGCGCAAUGGGGGCAACCCUGACGCAGCCAUGCCGCGUGAAUGAAGAAGGCCUUCGGGUUGUAAAGUUCUUUCGGUAGCGAGGAAGGCAUUUAGUUUAAUAGACUAGAUGAUUGACGUUAACUACAGAAGAAGC